rnacentral:rRNA from 1 species
AUUGAACGCUGGCGGCAGGCCUAACACAUGCAAGUCGAGCGGAUGAUUGGAGCUUGCUCCAUGAUUCAGCGGCGGACGGGUGAGUAAUGCCUAGGAAUCUGCCUGGUAGUGGGGGACAACGUUUCGAAAGGAACGCUAAUACCGCAUACGUCCUACGGGAGAAAGCAGGGGACCUUCGGGCCUUGCGCUAUCAGAUGAGCCUAGGUCGGAUUAGCUAGUAGGUGGGGUAAUGGCCCACCUAGGCGACGAUCCGUAACUGGUCUGAGAGGAUGAUCAGUCACACUGGAACUGAGACACGGUCCAGACUCCUACGGGAGGCAGCAGUGGGGAAUAUUGGACAAUGGGCGAAAGCCUGAUCCAGCCAUGCCGCGUGUGUGAAGAAGGUCUUCGGAUUGUAAAGCACUUUAAGUUGGGAGGAAGGGCAGUAAGUUAAUACCUUGCUGUUUUGACGUUACCAACAGAAUAAGCACCGGCUAACUUCGUGCCAGCAGCCGCAGUAAGAC